GGAAGAGCACCACAGCUUUGCUUUAGAUAAGUAAGUUAACUAUUUCCUUCAUAUUGUCUCACAAAAGCUAACUAUUUCCUCCAUUGCUUCUAAAGCAGGGCUGAAUUUGGAUCCAUGGUUAUGCUUAACAAACAACUUCUCAAGCUCCGAGGUGAGGAAAUACCAUGGUGUAAGAUAUUUGAUAGGAUAUCAAGAGGAGCCAAAAGAAGGGUCAUGGGCGUAAAGGAAACAAGAGUAACAGGGAAAGAAGAUAUGCAUAAGGUGGAGCAAUUGAUGGAGGUAUGGUCACGUGAGGGAUGUUGGAUUAGGUUCAUUGUAUCAACACAUUGUAUGUGUGGGUAUAUCCUCUUAGUGCCAGCUCAGCAGGUUUGUUGUGGGUAGCUUAUAUUAGACGUGCAGAUUGGGUAUUAGGGUUUAUGCUUUUGCUCAUUUGAAUGUGUAAGGAGAGGGGUGAGAGAGAAGCUCACAAUAAUCAACUUCUUGGGGUUGUAUUUGGUUUUCUGGAAAUCAAUACAACAUAUCGGUUCUUGUUCU